AUUAGGGCAGCGGGUUUUAAAGGCGUAUCAAAGAGAGCCUGACGGAUGAGCAGCGCAAGUGACCAUUAAUUUUAGAACCAACAAUAAUUUUUCCCUUACAUGUGAGGUCAUAUAUCUUUAUCAUGUUGUUUGCAUAUGAUGAUCUUCUGUUCACGCCUGAUCAUCUUGUUUCUAUCUUUAAGAUCACAUUCAGGUGUCAAGUUUGGUAGAAUAUUCAAUAUUUCAGAGUCAAACUACAUGGAUGACAUGUGCAUAGAAGUUGUCCAUAAGAAGAUCAACGUCCAAGAGUACAUAUAUAUUAAUUAUUAGAAGACAGUUGAAAACGGCGAAGCCUCAAUUUAAACGAAGGGAUAACAAUAUUCCUAUAUAUAUAUAUAUAUGUAUAUGUAUGUAUGUAUGAAAAAUUCUACUUAUCCUAUGAUUUGUCAUUUUUAUCCUUCUAUUUAAAUACACAUAUACCAGACUAGUUUAUCCGAGUAGUAAUAUUGCCCUGUCCCUGCUCCUGCUACCAUAUUUCAGAAAGGUCGUCAGAGAGAUUAAUCUUAUGCUGAUUAAAGGCUUCUCAUGUCUGAUAUCCAGGGACCAUUUUUACCGGCAACAAUGGCACCUCCUUUAUAGUCAGUCUCUCAGACUGUGCAAAGCUCACUGUCGCGCCUUCUCGGGGUGCCCACCACUGCUUGUUUGGAGUCUUUAAGAUGACAGAGAUGAAACCCUAAGGUUUUCUCUCAUAUUUGUGCUUCCUCCUAAUAAUUAAUGAUAAUUUAAAGCAGUGAAUGGCCUUCUCUCUCUCUCCCUCUCGCUGUGUGUCUGUGUGUGUGAAUCAAGUAGGAGGGAUCAAUAUUGAAGAUGCCGAAGAACCAGCUCUGAUGAUCUGAUAGUUGCAUGAAGCUUCUUUCUCAGGCACUUGCAGAAACAAGUGAUAAAGGAUCCAUUUGGAAACAUCAACUAGAAUUUAGAAAGCAAUUCAGGGUUUUGAAGUUGGAAUCCACGUACCUCCCAAAACCGCGAAAGCUUAAUCAUUUGCAUUGGUGAAAGCAUAUAUGCGUAUGUUUUUCCAAAGAUGAGAAAGAAACUGCGUACGUCUAUAUAAUGU